ACGGGAGGCAGCAGUGGGGGCUAUUGCACAAUGGGCGAAAGCCUGAUGCAGCGACGCCGCGUGAGGGAAGACGGUUUUCGGAUUGUAAACCUCUGUCUUCGGGGACGAAAAUGACGGUACCCGAGGAGGAAGCCACGGCUAACUACGUGCCAGCAGCCGCGGUAAUACGUAGGUGGCAAGCGUUGUCCGGAAUUACUGGGUGUAAAGGGAGAGUAGGCGGGAUUGCAAGUCCGUUGUUAAAUCUAUCGGCUCAACCGAUAGUUGCGGCGGAAACUGUAGUUCUUGAGUGAAGUAGAGGCAGGCGGAAUUCCUAGUGUAGCGGUGAAAUGCGUAGAUAUUGGAAGGAACACCAGUGGCGAAGGCGAUCUGCUGGGCUCUAACUGACGCUGAGGCACGAAAGUGUGGGGAGCAAACAGGAUUAGAUACCCUGGUA
rnacentral:rRNA from 1 species